GACGAACGCUGGCGGCGUGCCUAAUACAUGCAAGUCGAACGAACUCUGGUAUUGAUUGGUGCUUGCAUCAUGAUUUACAUUUGAGUGAGUGGCGAACUGGUGAGUAACACGUGGGAAACCUGCCCAGAAGCGGGGGAUAACACCUGGAAACAGAUGCUAAUACCGCAUAACAACUUGGACCGCAUGGUCCGAGUUUGAAAGAUGGCUUCGGCUAUCACUUUUGGAUGGUCCCGCGGCGUAUUAGCUAGAUGGUGGGGUAACGGCUCACCAUGGCAAUGAUACGUAGCCGACCUGAGAGGGUAAUCGGCCACAUUGGGACUGAGACACGGCCCAAACUCCUACGGGAGGCAGCAGUAGGGAAUCUUCCACAAUGGACGAAAGUCUGAUGAGCAACGCCCCGUGAGUGAAGAAGGGUUUCGGCUCGUAAAACUCUGUUGUUAAAGAAGAACAUAUCUGAGAGUAACUGGUCAGGUAUUGACGGUAUUUAACCAGAAAGCCACGGCUAACUACGUGCCAGCAGCCGCGGUAAUACGUAAGUGGCAAGCGUUGUCCGGAUUUAUUGGGCGUAAAGCGAGCGCAGGCGGUUUUUUAAGUCUGAUGUGAAAGCCUUCGGCUCAACCGAAGAAGUGCAUCGGAAACUGGGAAACUUGAGUGCAGAAGAGGACAGUGGAACUCCAUGUGUAGCGGUGAAAUGCGUAGAUAUAUGGAAGAACACCAGUGGCGAAGGCGGCUGUCUGGUCUGUAACUGACGCUGAGGCUCGAAAGUAUGGGUAGCAAACAGGAUUAGAUACCCUGGUAGUCCAUACCGUAAACGAUGAAUGCUAAGUGUUGGAGGGUUUCCGCCCUUCAGUGCUGCAGCUAACGCAUUAAGCAUUCCGCCUGGGGAGUACGGCCGCAAGGCUGAAACUCAAAGGAAUUGACGGGGGCCCGCACAAGCGGUGGAGCAUGUGGUUUAAUUCGAAGCUACGCGAAGAACCUUACCAGGUCUUGACAUACUAUGCAAAUCUAAGAGAUUAGACGUUCCCUUCGGGGACAUGGAUACAGGUGGUGCAUGGUCGUCGUCAGCUCGUGUCGUGAGAUGUUGGGUUAAGUCCCGCAACGAGCGCAACCCUUAUUAUCAGUUGCCAGCAUUAAGUUGGGCACUCUGGUGAGACUGCCGGUGACAAACCGGAGGAAGGUGGGGAUGACGUCAAAUCAUCAUGCCCCUUAUGACCUGGGCUACACACGUGCUACAAUGGAUGGUACAACGAGUUGCGAACUCGCGAGAGUAAGCUAAUCUCUUAAAGCCAUUCUCAGUUCGGAUUGUAGGCUGCAACUCGCCUACAUGAAGUCGGAAUCGCUAGUAAUCGCGGAUCAGCAUGCCGCGGUGAAUACGUUCCCGGGCCUUGUACACACCGCCCGUCACACCAUGAGAGUUUGUAACACCCAAAGUCGGUGGGGUAACCUUUUAGGAACCAGCCGCCUAAGGUGGGACAGAUGAUUAGGGUG
rnacentral:rRNA from 1 species